rnacentral:rRNA from 1 species
AUGAGCUACGCGCUCAUCUACGACAUCCAGGCCAGCCUCGCCCUCCCCAUCCUCGACCCCGCCGACCCGCGCCGCUGCCUCGCCGUCCUCGAGCUCGUCUUCACCGCCGCCCCCGCCGCACGCUUCGCCGCCGAGGCCCACAAGCUCUGCAAGGCCCUCCAGGCCGUGUCAUUGAGAGGCUCCGAGAUCUGCCACCCCGUGCCACCGACCGAGAUAUGCAACUCAGAGGCGACUCAGGCGGCCAUGUCGGAGGUGUCGGGGCUGCUGGCCGCCGUCCGCGAAGCCCACGAGCUGCCGCUGGCGCAGGCCUGGGUGAGGUGCAAGCAGUGCACCCGUACGGACGUCGACGACGACGCCCAGCAUUUCUCCCUGACGACGGCCGGAGCCCCGUUCCACCUAGGCGCGCACUACGGCGGCUUCCGCGACGCCUGCGCCGAGCACCACCUGCGGCGCGGCCAGGGGCUCGUGGGCGAGGCGGCGUCGGUGCGCGGGCCACGUUUCUGCGCCGACGUCGCCAGGCGGUCCAAGGACGCCUACCCGCUCGCGCACUACGCCCGCAUGCACGGCCUGGCCGGGUGCCUCGCCGUGCCCCUGCGACUACCACCGUCCGCCAUGGACGUCGGCGACGACGGCCAGGUAGAGGAAGAAUGCGUGGUGCUGGAGUUCUUCCUCCCGCCGGACUGGAGGAGCGCCGGGGAGCAGAAGGCCAUGGUGGACGCCGUCGCAGCUACGAUCAGGAAAGAAUGCUCCGGCAAUCACCUGGAGGCGACGAGCGACCUGCAAGAUUUGUCCUUGGAGGCCGUUCUUGCCGAUGCUGACACUGCCCAUGAACUGAACAAUCGUGGGGACUAUGUUACCAAUGAUUCAGACGAGGAGGACGGCGAUCAAGCAGGAGGCGUCCAUGGCGCGGACCAAAGUGGAGCCGAGGAUCGUGUACCUCCACCGGAGACGAAGAAGACCGGAAGGAAGGCCGGAAGACCUGUCAGUCUUAAGGAGCUGCAAGGAUACUUCUCAGGGAGCCUGAAAGAUGCUGCGAGGAGCCUCGGCGUGUGCCCGACGACGAUGAAGCGCAUCUGCAGGCAGCACGGCAUAUCGAGAUGGCCAUUCCGGAAGAUCAGCAAGGUGAACCGUGCCCUCGGCAAGAUCAGGGCCAUCGAAUCGGUGGAUUGCUCAUCGAAGCCAACUGCUGCUUCUUCUUCCACCUCUCGCCGAGCUCCAGCCCCUCGUCUGCCAUGCUUGUCAAGUGCUCUAGGAGAAGACACCUCCUCCCAAGGCUCAAGCCAAGAUCCUCCACCUCUCACCAAAACCACAAUGCGCAAGUCUUUGCUGUGGCACAGCAAUGGCGCGGAGGGGGAGCUGGUGACCAUCAAGGCGAACUACAGAGGGGACAUCAUCAGGUUCAGGGUGCCGUGCUCUGCCGGCGUAGCGGCAGUAAAGGAGGAGGUGGCCAAGAGGCUGGGCCUAGAUGCUGGCACCUUCGACGUCAAGUACCUCGACGACGACCAUGAGUGGGUGCUCCUGUCCUGCGAUGCCGAUUUCCAGGAGUGCCUUGAUGUCGCUCCGGGACUGCCAGCGUCCUCAACAAUGGCUGGCGGAGCUGGAGCGGUGUCUCCAGUUGUCAGGCUAAUGGUGCAGGAGGUAGCUGAUAACCAUCGGAGCUCUUGUGGUAGCUCAGAUUAG